rnacentral:rRNA from 1 species
AACGAACGCUGGCGGCAGGCCUAACACAUGCAAGUCGAACGCUGUAGCAAUACAGAGUGGCAGACGGGUGAGUAACGCGUGGGAACAUGCCCUUCGGUUCGGAAUAACUCAGGGAAACUUGAGCUAAUACCGGAUACGCCCUUAGGGGGAAAGAUUUAUUGCCGAAAGAUUGGCCCGCGUCCGAUUAGCUAGUUGGUGAGGUAAUGGCUCACCAAGGCGACGAUCGGUAGCUGGUCUGAGAGGAUGAUCAGCCACACUGGGACUGAGACACGGCCCAGACUCCUACGGGAGGCAGCAGUGGGGAAUAUUGGACAAUGGGCGCAAGCCUGAUCCAGCCAUGCCGCGUGAGUGAUGAAGGCCCUAGGGUUGUAAAGCUCUUUCGCCAGGGACGAUAAUGACGGUACCUGGAUAAGAAGCCCCGGCUAACUUCGUGCCAGCAGCCGCCGCGGUAA